UUGCCCAGUUCCACACUGGGUAGGCCUCCUGGACUUCUGAAAAGCUUCUGCCCUUUUUGGUUCAUUGACAGAUGGUGCCACAGGCCAGCAGCUACCUGAAGCUGGAGGGACAAUGGCCCAAUGAGACAGCCAUAAACAUUGCAGCUGCCUCGAGUUCCUCAGAGCAUCAGGCUUAACCAAAAAGCCAGAGCUAACUGCACAAGUGGGCACCUGCAUGUCCUCUGAAGUCCCAGGAAGGGGCAGAGACAAGGUUCUGAUGAGCUUGGGCAUUUGGGAUAUUCUAGAGAAUAGAGACCUGCUACAUUGUAAGAAUCACCUCGUGGAGACAGAAAGGCAUGUCGGCUAGCACUGGCCAAGGUGGGCCUAGGUGGCUGAGGAGAUAAGGGAGCCUGUUGUCAAGCCCGACUACCUGAGUUCAAUCCCUGAGUCCUCAAGAUAGAACAGAGAGCUGAUGGCCACUGGUUGUUAUCUGACCUCUGUGAGCCAGCUGUGGCAUCUGUGUGCUGCACCAACCAACCAAUCAAAAACUAGAUCAAAGAUAGAAUCAUGUCUUCGCCUGUGACUUCAGGGUAUAUUUUAAAACCAGUCACUGGUCACUGGUUUGUAUUUCUUCUGCGAAGCAUACCUUCCAGGAACUAAAUGUCUGAGGGAGACUGGGGGAAUCUCGGAGAUGAAGGCCAUCUCUGGGCAGGGCAGCCUUGUAGGUUACACAGAGAGAAAACUGAGUAACACCCCAUUCACUCAGCCAGCAUGGAGUCCCUGCCACUCCUAAGUGUGGAGUCCCCACAGGUUGGCUUACGUUCUACAACCAUGUGACAGCUUUCGAAGUAUCCCUACUUCCUGGCAAUGAAAGCUCUUCGAGAUCCAGUCUGAUUGCUUUCUGACGUGAGUUUUGAAAUCCUCCUAGACAAGCCGCCAAGAAGCAGACCUGGAGCCUCACAGAGACCAAAGCCGAAAACUCAAAAGUUCAAGGCUUUCCUUCUUAAGUUACAGAUCGAGUCCGAGGCCAUCUGGACAACUUAAUAAUCUGGAGCAGAGGGACGAGCGGACCGUCUGUGGUUGAGACUGGGUUCAAAAACAGAAGUGCACUUCUAGAGACACAACAUGGAGCGGUGUGUGUUCCAGGCAGCGCUGCCAGAACUGGCCCCCGAGGAGCAAAGCUGUGCAGUGCCCGUGGAUCCGCACUGUAGAUUAAAGGGUGCCUGGGGCUCUAGCCCUGACUUCUGCUUCUAGAAGAAUUUCCUGUUCUUAACCUACAGUGAAGAACUUCGGGAUGUUAAUUUGGCAUUCAAAGUAACCACAGACAAGCCAGCAAUGAGCAGUAAUGACGUCUAUGGCUAAGCCCGAUGACCUGAUGACCUGAUAACCUGGGAUCUACAUGAUGGAAAGAUUCCUGUAAGACCUCCACAGAUGCCAUGACACAUGACACCCACCUCAACACACACACACACACACACACACACACACAUACACACAAACAUACACACACACAGAGACACACAGACACACACACAGACACACCACACACACACACACACACAUACACACACAGACACACACACACAGACAAACACACACACAUACACAUACACACAUACACACACACAUACACACACACACACAGAGACACACAGACACACACACAAACACACACACAGACACACACACACACAUACACUUUUUUAAAAUGCAAAACAAUCGCUGAAACUAAUUGUUUAAAUUUCCCAAGUACACAGAAUUAAUUUUAUAAUAAAAUAUUUCUCAAUUGAUCUUAAAUACUUUCAGAACAACCGCUAAAUAAAUUGAGCUUUAAACAACAGCCCAUCGAUUGGGUGCCUACCAUUUGCCGGGCUCAGACUGGGCCAGAGUGCACCAAACAAAAUGGAGUGCUGUUCCUUCUACUGUGAACCACAUGGGUGUCACUGUGGAGUUUCUACAUAACGUGGACAGGGUCGCUUUAAUAAAUGUAGGGGCCCAAGAUGUGGGCACAGCUUCUGACCAAGGAACCUGGAUUUCAACCAGAAGUUCCUAAAUUCGUCUUUACUAAGACUAGCAUCCAAGGCUGGCAUGUAUGACUGAACUUUGUACCAAUAUUUCAACAUCUAUCUCCCUGUCCCAGAUCUAGAACGAAGCCCCAUGGACCCUGACCCGUUCCCAUCCCUUGUUCCCAAACACUCUGCAAACAUGGGGGUCAAGGUCCAGUGGCCUUACUGCUGACUCAGCCCGCACAAACAACUUCGUGUGAACAAGCACACACACGUAAGGGGAAGUGGGGCUGUUAGAGAUGCGAGGACUUAAUUUCAAAAUAAGUAAUGAUGUGCAUGAUCAAAGAGAACUGAAAUCUCACUAGUUCCCUGAUUUUGAGGUUAUUUUCCUUGGUAUUCCGGAAACUUCCUUAAAAUUAAACAACCCACUCUUGAUGGGACUUGCUUAUGUCUGACUUUUUUGUUUGAUUUUUGUUCGGAUUUGCUUGGUUUUGUUUUUUGAGGUGGUUGAUAGGGUCGUUAGCUGAGGCUGACUUCAAACUUGCCAACCUGCUCUGCUGCCCAGGUUGGCCUCAACUCACAGAGAUCCCUCUCCCUGACUCCCGAGUGCUGGGGUGGAAGGUGUGCUCCACCAUACCAGGUUUCAGACCUUUUUAUUUCUGUAUUUUUCAGAAUUGAUUUGAGAGAGCUGAAGACAAUGGGUCUUGCUCUCCAAAGGUUCCUGGGAGUCUUGGUGAGGGACCUCAUCAACAGAAAGAACAGACAUUUUGGUUAAUAAGACAAUCAAAAUUAUUAUUUCCUGUUAUCCCAGAAGCAAGGGGUGUGUGUGUGUGUGUGUGUGUGUGUGUGUGUGUGUGUGUGUGUGAAAUAGAGGUGUGUUUGUCAUUUGCCACCAAGCUACCCCAAGCACUGGCAACUGCUCCCCUGGCCUUCUUGCCCUACCUCCAGCUUUCUUCCUUUGGAUCAACAGAAGUAACGAAACAGUUUGUGCCCCCUUAAAUAGCAGUUUUCACUUAUCUCAACCCAGACCUGAGAGAGAAGCUGGGCAGCAUGAAGGUGCUGUUGAAGGGGAUCAGGAAUACAAACCCACCUUUGGCUAACUAGAGAACCGAGGUCAGUCCAGAAACUGGCCUCAGAAAAACGGACAGACUAACUGAAGAACAAGACCCUGAACUCCCAAAAGAGAAUAUUCCUGAUUCCAGUUCUCAGAUUACUGAUUUUGUCUACAGGGGCCAUGUACAGUAUCUGAAGACAUAUUUUUGGUUUCCACCAAGCAACAGUUUGGAUGCUCCUGGUGCUCAGUGGGCAGAGGGCAGGGAUGUGCUAAUGACCCACAGUGCACGGGUCCCUCCACCACAGAUAGGAAUAUGACCCUGGCAAUGACAAUGCAUACUUGUAAUCUCAUGGGAGAAAUAGAAAUCAGAGGGUCAGGACUUCAACAUCAUCCUUGGCUGCCAUGGAGUCCCAGGCCACGCCUCCAAUAAUAACAGAACGAUUCCACGGUAUCUCUUUUUCUACACAACAUAGACGUCUUCCCCAGGGAAUAAAGAUAGGCGUUCUUAAUCCAGUGUCUCCCAGCCAAACUCAGCUCCAUGUGCGGAUACUACAGAGUAUGAUGUAACAUAAAACGUGGGCUCGAGGGCUGGCUGAGUUCAGACCCUUGAACUUAAAUAUCAUUGUGAUAUUGAGCAACACACUCAACUUUCUGCCUCGGUUUCCUUAACCUUGAUCCUACAAUAUAAUAGUCCCCAUAGCACAGGCCGACCAUGCAGAGGCAAUGAAUCUUCAUGCAUAGGCUACAGAGUGGUGCUGUGUGGGGAAAGUGCUGGAUAACCUGUGCCUGGUUGCUGGGCAUUUGCUUUUCUUCACUCUGAAAGCAUCUAAUCCUAUCCAAGCCUCCCCGUGAAAACAGUUUCUGUAUGCAACACGGGGAACUCAGUGUUCUAUGGACAGUUUUCGUUCCAUGAGAUGCCUGCCUGCAUAUCUGCAAGCCACUGACAUGUGACUUCCUGCAGUGUCUGAGAGCAGGGGACCGAGUUCUCAAUUUUAUAUUCAUGAGAUGGGCGUGUCUCUCGGUCUACAGACGCUUCCCUAGCAUGCAAGAAACCCUGAGAUUGAUCCCAACACAACAUAAACUGGGCGUGGUGGCACACACCUGUAACGCCAGCACUCAAGAGGGCAAGAGGAUUAGAAUUUCAAGGCUAUUACUGACUACAUAAUAAGUUAAGGCCAGCCUGGGCUACAUAAAAAAAUGAUCCCAUUGAGCUGGAGAGAUGGCUCUGGGGUUAAAACACUGAUUGCUCUUGCAGAGGACCUGGGUUUGAUUCUCAGCACCAACAUGGCUACUCACAACCAUCUGUAAUUCAAGAGGAGCUGGGCUGGCUCUCCUGGUGGUGCUUGGCCUCUGUCCUGUGUCCUUCCUGAAGCUCAGGAGCUCAACCCUACUCAAAAGCCCACACAUGCCUCCACAGGCAUCCAUGACUUGAAUCUUGGGUGCAGGAGCUUGGCUGGGGGAUGUUGGAUUGAGGUCAGAUUAGUCUGACCCCAUGCAUUCCUGAAGGUGGCUAAAAGUCCCCUCGCUGGCUAAAACAUGGUCUGCUACACAGUCCAGCUGAGUUACCGCAGCCCUCUGGGAUUUCACUUCUAGGUGAGUGCCUCCGAGAACUGAAACAUAUGCCACAUCCCCAAACAUGGACACAAUGCUCACAGUGACAUUCGGAAUGAGAACUGAAAAGCAAAGAUAACCAAAGAACUUAUGAAUGGGUAACAAAGUACGAUACACCCAUAUGCUUGUCAUAAAAAGGAAAUAAACGUGGCUAAAUACCCAGAGAGAAAAACUUGGAAUCCACGUGGUGUAAGUUGUAAAGUGCUGGCUGUGUGAGCAUACGGACCCUAAUUCAACCAUCAGCAACCAUGUAGAAAGCAAGUGUGGUAGUUCCUGCUUGUAAUCAGUGCAGACGGACAGGCAGGCACGUCUCUGCGUCUUACUGGCCAGCUGGCCAGGGCAGGUCCCAGUGGGAGACCUUGUCUCAGAAAACAAGGUGAAUGGGUCCCAAGGAAUGACGGCUAAGUUUGUCUGGCCUCCAUACGUAUUCACACACAUGUGCUUCUGUAUCUGAGCACUGUGUCUCUCUGUCUCUCUGUCUCUCUGUCUCUGUCUAUCUGUCUUUCUCUCUCACACACAGGUCACACGUUGUAUAAUUUCAAAUGUCAAUUUACUGAGAUAAGGGGUGCCUAGCUGGACACAAAACACUCUUUCCAGAAAAGAUUGGAAUUUGAAUGGGAGAGCCCCUCCCGCAAAGCAGGUAGAGCUCAGACCUCUACCAGGGCCUCAAGCAUAGUGGGAGGAAGAGGGCUCCCCUCUCAGACAGAGCUGGGACACUAAUCUCCUCCUCCCUCAGACAUAAGUAUAACCAGCCCCAGACCUUGGACCCAGACUGAGCUGUUGGGGAUUGGUUCUAAUGCUUAGAAUUAAUCUAGUCCCCCAAAUCAGGAAUCUAUGUGUACAAACGCUGAAGGACCUUGUCCCCAAAUGGUUUUUGAUCAGUCAAUAAAGAGCCAACAGCCAAUAGUUGAGCAGGUAGACUGAGCCAGGACAUUUAAAUUUGCAUGGGCAAGGGACUGUGAGAGAGAAAAGGGAGGGACUGCCAUGUCUUCAAGGGAUUUCAAAUCAGAUUUAGAGCUGCAGAAGAAAAUUCAUCCAAAAUGUAGGUGGAAGGGAAAGGGCCCUGUGGGAAGGGCUGCCCAGAAGGUAACAGGGAAGCAAAGUCAAAACACAGAUUUAGGAGCCGUUGAGCCGGGAGUACUGGAGGGAAAUGUAUGCUAGCCAGGUGGAGGCUUAGAACCGCCUAACCUUUGAGCUAGUCAAGGCAUAUUUAAAAUUAACUGGGGCUGGAGAGAUGGCUCAGUGGUUAAGAGCACUGACUGCUCUUCCAGAGGUCCUGAGUUCAAAUCCCAGCAACCACAUGGUGGCUCACAACCAUCUGUAAUAGGAUCUGAUGGCCUCUUCUGGUGUGUCUGAAGACAGCUACAGUGUACUUAUAUAUAGUAAAUAAAUCUUUUUAAAAAAUUAACUGGUGUGCAUGCGUGCGUGUGUGUCUUUCAUUCACAAAUUCAGAUAGCUUUUGGGUGGGUAUGCGCGUGUGACCCAUCCGGCACACAAAGUGGGAUAGCCAAACUACCGCUACACUUCCUAAUUCAGACUGAGCCUCAGGUCACUGGCCUGAACUCUCCAAGACUGGAGCUCACAAACUUCACAGAACUCCAGCUUGCUGAUAGAUCCUGGGGUUUCUCAGGCUCCAAAAUCAUGUCAGUCAAGUUCUCAUAAUAAAUAUCCAUGUCUGGAUGGAUAUAUAUGUAUAUGUAUAUGUGUGUAAUGCAAUUAUUGAUUCCAUAUGAAUACACCCAUGCACACAAACAUGCAAAUAAACAUAAUACAUCUAUACAAACACAUACAUAUAUACACAUACACUUGCUUGCACACACACACACCCAUAACAUUCCUACAUAUAUACAUAGACACACAUACAUGUGCACACUUACACAUGUAUAUAUAUAUUUUUUUCUCUCUGUUUCUGGAAAAUUCUGACACAGAUUUCAUUUCUAUUAAAUGUUUGGAAUAAACACUUCUGAGUACUUUGGUGGCCCGUUGGGGGUUGGGGAAGAAGUGUUGGGGAGUGAUUGUCUCAUAGUACAGGGUUUCCGUCUGGGGUGGUGAAAUAAAUAUGGAAGGAGGUCAUGGUGCUGGUUGCACUCCGUGAGUAUACCCAAAGCCACAUUGAGCUUCAGACUGUCAGUGAGUUAAUGGUACACAAUUGCAUUUUAACUGAACAUAUGCACGAUACGGUCUCCUUGAUACAUGAUCUUGAGGCCCAUGUAGUCUAUUAUGAGACCCUGCUCAAAAGAAGAAAGCAUCUCGUGGGCUGGAGAUGCAGCUCAGCUUGGAGAGUGCUGGCCUAGCAUGAAAUCUUAGGCUCAGUGCCAGCACUCUAGACUGGGGAUGGAGGCACGGUCCUUGAGUCCCAGUACUAGGCAGGAAAGCCAGAAGUCCAAUGGGACUACAUAGGGAACUUGAGGCCAGUCUAGACUACACAACACCCUACCUCAAAAAUUAAAACAUCAACAACAAAACCAACCCUCAAACAAACAAAAAAUGCCGAGUUAGCAAGGGCGUGGAACAUUGGAAGCUUCUGCUGUCUGUCUGUCUGUAAAAUGUUGGCUGCUCUGGGAAACAAUUCAUAAGUUCCUCAAAACACAAAAAGAGAACUUUAUCCAGCCCACAGCCCCACUGCUGGGAAUAUAUGUAAGAGAAUUGAAGGCAGGGUCUCAAAGGUGGGGUGUACAAACCCGUUUUCCAGGUAGUGUUAGUCACCAGGCUCAAGAGGUGGAAGUCACCCAGUUGUCCAUACGUGAGUGUGACAGACUCAUAAAAUGGGCUAAUACUCAGUCUUAAAAGAGGAGAACAUUUGACAGAGGCAGGGGCAGGCAGACCUCUGAGUUUGAGGCCAGCCUGGUCUACAGAGUGAGUUCCAGGACAACACAGGGCUACACAGAGAAACCCUGUCUUGAAAAACCAUAAUAAAGAAAUGAAUGAGAGAGAGAGAGAGAGAGAGAGAGAGAGAGAGAGAGAGAGAGAGAACAUUAUAGUCAGUAAAGGAAGCUGCUGUGAUGGGCAAAUGCUUUGACUCCACUUUCAUGAAGUGGAGACAGGAAGCAGAAUGGUGGCUAACAGGUGGUUAAUAAGAAUGAAGAAAGGUUUGAUGGGCACGGAGUUUCACUCUCGCAGAAUUAAGAAGUUCUAAUUUACAGAAAAGCAAACUUACCCAACACUAUUGCCCUGCAUAUUGGGAAUAACAGAGGUCAGACGUUGUCUCCUAAAAAUAGCAUAAAAUAAAAUAAAAAACAGACUGGGUGUGGUAGCAUCGCCCUGUGAGUCCACACUCAGAGGCUGAGGCCCAAAGACAGGUUAAGGUCAGCCAGGGCUACAUAGGGACCCGGCCUCAAGAGAAUAACUACAAAGAAAAAGAAAUGCUAAGCUAGCUGGGAAACACACACACACACACACACACACACACACACCCCACACCCUCACAUAUACACUCCAUCUCACACACAAAUUCACACACAGACACACUGAUACACACAACUGACACUGACACACACACACACACACACACUGACAUGCUCAACUCAAAAACAUUCUUCCUCACAUACCCUCAUAAACACCACUCACACCCACAGUGACACACACAAACUCACACACUCAAUGACAUACACACUGACACACACAACUCACAUACAUACACCCUUACUAUCCUCAAACACUCACUCAUAUACAUACCCUCACACACACCCUCACCUCACACACUAAUACACACAACUUACAUACACUCAUACAAACACACUCUCACACACUCCCAUGCACACACAAGAUGGCAGGUAUGUGUUCUUCAACUGUGCUGUGGAAUUACACCCUCCACUGGUGUCCAAGGAACCAUAGCCACACACUGAACCUCCCUGAACUGGAACAGGUACAAUAAUGACAGGACACAUAUCAGGCACCCAGUAGAUGAAUGGUUACUGAGUGACCUCCUUAGCAGCUACACACUGAGGCUAAGCAGGUCCAACCUCUGCAUGUUACAGAUAGGCCGGUGGAGGCAAGGCAUGGUAAGUGACCUACCUGUCCACAAUCCCAAAGCCACUGAGCAAUAACAGAAGGGGACUCUGGCUAUAACCCUUUCUAUGAUAGCAUCUGACUUCAAAGUCAACAUGCAAUCAACACAGGAUUAGGAAUUUCCUACUGCAAAGUAGAGAAGAAAGUUUCUCGCAACGAUCUUCAUGCUAUACUACUGAUUCAGAGCUUUGGGGGAUCUUGGCCUCCUUGAUAAUGGAAUUCAAUUUUGAUUGUGUUUCACAUAUUUCAUAGAAUGACCUAUGUGAAGGAUAAGAGUUUUCAAAGAUUCCCAGACACCUCAGUUAAGAAUCCCCUUAAAUGCUUGCCUAAGUGCUGAGUUCAAGCCCUAUGUGGUCAGUUUGAUGUCAACGGACACAAGCUAGAGUUGUUUGGGAAGAGGACUCUCAACUGAGAAAGUGCUUCCAUAAGAUUGACCUAUAAUACGUAGUGCAUUUUUGUUGACUGAUGAUUGAUGUGGGGGUAGGGUGGAAGUCACUGGGGAUGGCACCACUCUUGGGCAGGUGGUCCUGGUUGUUAUAAGAAGCGGGCUGAGCAAGCCAUGGAGAGUAAGCCAGUAAGCAGCACCCUCCAUGGUCUCUGCUUCAGCUCCUGUCCUGAGUUCCCUCAGUGAUGAAGUGUGACCUGAGAGUUUAAGCCAAGUACGCCCUUUGCUCCCAAGUUGCUUUUGGUCAUGGUGUUUUUAUCACAGCAAAAGAAACUCCAACUCAGACAUUCUAGAACCACAUAAACCACGUGUGGUUGCUCACACCUGUAACCUCAGCACUCGGGAAGAAAAGGCAAGAGGAUCAGAACUUCAAGGUCAUCCUUGGCUAUACACUGAGUUUAAGGCUAGCCUAGGCUACAUAAGACCCUGUCCCCAGC